UUUCAGCACACGCUUCCUCCAAUAUAUACCAAAUUUUUCCUUUUUUUCACAGCGUUUAGUUACGUCGCGUCUCUCACACACUCUACAGCGAGAAACUUGCACCUCGCUACAAUCUAGUACAUCUCCCGAUGACACGUUUCUAAUUACGGUGUGCAAAGAGUGUUGGAUGCUUAUGACGCGGGUUCGCAAUACCGACUGAAACAGAGUACAGUCGAGGUGAAUGCUUUUAGUAUCGACCCGACAACGCAAGAGCCUCACUCCCACUCUCACUCCCCUAUCGCUAACUACGUAUACCAUUAUAUAAUAGAUAGAUAAAUGUAUAGAUACAGGGUGAGGCAAUCGUUCAUUAAUGCGUUCUGGAGUAUCUUUGAACCACUUGGAGCACUUGGAAAAAUUAUAUUUUAGAUGAAAAAAGUUGUAAAUGAACAAACACUUUCAAUUACAACGAUUCUUUGAAUAAGUGUUCCCUUAAGAUUACUAUAAAUCAACAAACUUCAGUAGAUUUAUAUUUUUUGUAAGUUAAUUCAAAAAAUUUCUCCGGGUCAACUCUUUAGUUUCAUAUUCGCGAUGGUAAUUUCAUGUUGCGUCAUUUGAUACAGGAGCCUUAAACCGAUCGAACCUCGUGGAAGUUCAUCGAUCUAAAUUGAAUAAAACCACUCGAUAAUUCUGCUUUUUCAAUAUUGGAAUAUGAGCAAAAAUAAUCCAUCAGCAUAAAAAUAAAACUUGUUAUUAAACAAUACACAUGAAAGCGUGCUCGCAGUCCUAUAAGUUUGUUUAUAAAACGAAUAUACAGAUCAAGAAAGAACUCGACACGAGGUCCUUUGUCGCUAGAGUUAGAGUCACUAUUUUGACCACUGCAACGCUCAGUUAAUCGAUAGAUCUCUUAGAGUAAAGUUCAAUGAAUAAAAUAUAUAAUUGCUCUGCUGAAA